AGAGACCAAGCGAGAGCAAGUCUUGCUUCGCUAGAGUGGUUUGCACCGCAUCGGGUCAUGAUUGUAUUUUAAAGCAGGUUCAGUUCACAAUAGACAUAAAUAAAAGAAGAGAAAUUAGCCAUAAGUAUAUAUACUUUUUUUUUUUGCGGGAUAUAAGUAUAUAUACUUAGACCAUACCACGUCUCGGUGCUACACCACAUGAUGGAAAGUCGAUCCACCAGGCUGGCUUAGGGCUCAGCAGGCCACGAUAUAUAUGGCUCAUGCGCCAUACCCCACUAGUAGGCCUCCUCCAAAAACACCACCGACUUGACA
rnacentral:lncRNA from 1 species